rnacentral:lncRNA from 1 species
UUAUAGGGACAAAUUGCAAGAACAAUUUUCUGUGAGAUUAAUGUAAUUUAAUACACCAUGGCCAGUGUGGCAUAAAUACUUAGAUAAGUCAGGCAUUCUGCUAGACACUUGGAACACAAAAUGCAGACCUCAAAGAGCUCGCAGGCUAAAAGGAACUCUGAUCUCAGUCUUUCCUUGUUGCUGAGUUCCAUUGUGGGGCCGCCUCGCUUUGUGGGAUUGUUGAGAACCCAAGACUUCUCUGCCUCCUCAGUGUAUCGCUGGUGACACUGAACUUCACAUUGCUGCAGCCAUCCAGAACCAACACCUGCCAUGGACUUUGCCUCAGCCACUCUUGUGCCCGAUCCUCUGUGCGUGCAACUUCAUGCUGAAGGAGGUCCUCUGUUGAAAGUGAAGCUUUAGCUCAAGUUCCAUCUCCCUCACAGAGUCUUUCCUGAACACCUCUACGGAAAUCACAUCCACUGACUUCUCAUUCCUGCCUCAGCUUCUCCUAGAGCAUUUGCGAUACUGUAUCCGGGUCCUAGUUUCUGUGUUAGAUUCCCUCUUGACUCAGAGCUCCUUGAAGCAGUGACUAUGUUUUAAUCAGCUUUGUGUUCUUAAAACUACCACAAACCCAGGAUCAUAGCAAUUACUCACUAUUUAUUUGGAAUGAAUGAGUGAGUGAAUGAAUGCAAAUAGACCAUUAGAUCACUUUAGAGACACAGUAGAUGCCUCCUUGUUCCUUUCUUCCCUUCUCACCCCACACCCUUGCACACCCUGCCACCCACUGCCUUUGAACGGGAUAUCUGU